GAACAUCUCCAUGCAGAUAUUUUGCAAGGACCUUCCUACUGUUACAAUGGAGAACGAUGGCUCAUACAUUUUGUAUGUGAUUAUCUUCAUUUCCACAUUGCAGUCACAGCCAUUUGAAAAUCCGAUAUUAGAAAAGCAUUGAACAAAGUUUUAAGGUGGAUUAAACAUCAAUUUGAUUGUGAAACAAAGAUCAUAUGAAUCGACAAUGAGAAGACAAUAAAGGAAUCUGAUAUCUUUAAGGAUUGGGUAACUGAAUUAGGCCUUGAUAUUGAAUACUCUUUGGAAUAUAUCCAUGAGCAGAACGGUGCUGCAGAACGGGCAGGUGCUAUAAUCACCUCUACAGCAAGCGAAUCCUUACUGCCCCAAUCACUGUUCCCUGAGAUAGCAAUCACUGCUGUUUACUUGCUGAAUAGGACCUCUACCAAGAUGUUAGAAUGGAAAUCGCCUCUCUGAGCACUAGAAGAAUAUCUUCAUAUCGAACACCACUCUUGUGCUCACUUACAUGCCUAC
rnacentral:sRNA from 1 species